rnacentral:rRNA from 1 species
UGAGUAACACGUGGAUAACCUACCUAUAAGACUGGGAUAACUUCGGGAAACCGGAGCUAAUACCGGAUAAUAUUUUGAACCGCAUGGUUCAAAAGUGAAAGACGGUCUUGCUGUCACUUAUAGAUGGAUCCGCGCUGCAUUAGCUAGUUGGUAAGGUAACGGCUUACCAAGGCAACGAUGCAUAGCCGACCUGAGAUGGUGAUCGGCCACACUGGAACUAAGACACGGUCCAG